UUUGCAGUCUUAGAUAGUAUAUACUUGAUGGAGCAACUUUAAAUUUCUUAUGGACUCAAAUGCUUCAUAAUCGACCAACAUAUAUGUCAGUGUCAUUCAGCACCAGGUUUGAGAAGUAGCACGGUUUUUCCUUACAAUUCUCGACAGGAAAUAUUGGCAUGGAGGACUUUACCUUUUGUUUCCAUUGUUUUGUUGGCAUAGCAAUGCAAUUGUAAUGAAUUGACACCAUUGUUAGGUUUCAUGUAUGUCGUGUUGUCUGACUCUACCGCCU
rnacentral:misc_RNA from 1 species